UCGCCAGACUCCUACGGGAGGCAGCAGUGGGGGAUAUUGCACAAUGGGGGAAACCCUGAUGCAGCGACGCCGCGUGGGUGAAGAAGCGCCUCGGCGCGUAAAGCCCUGUCAGCAGGGAAGAAAAUGACGGUACCUGAAGAAGAAGCCCCGGCUAACUACGUACCAGCAGCCGCGGUAAUACGUAGGGGGCAAGCGUUAUCCGGAUUUACUGGGUGUACAGGGGGCGCAGACGGCGAUGCAAGCCAGGAGUGAAAACCCAGGGCCCAACCCUGGGACUGCAUUGGAAACUGUAUUGCUUGAGUACCGGAGAGGCAGGCGGAAUUCCUAGUGUAGCGGUGAAAUGCGUAGAUAUUAGGAGGAACACCAGUGGCGAAGGCGGCCUGCUGGGCUUUUACUGACGCUGAGGCUCGAAAGUGUGGGGAGCAAACAGGAUUAGAUACCCGCGUA
rnacentral:rRNA from 1 species